ACAUUUAAGUUGAACAACAAAACCGUGACAGUCUCGCCCAUCAAAGAACCAAUCGAGACUUAUUGUUUAAAACUGGAGAAAAACUUCAAGAACUUAAGGAGCAGAUCGAAAGGAACUUGGAAAGUCCCAUGAAAAGAACCUUCCCUCUCGAAACGACAGAAGAUGUCAAAGAAACAGCUGUUAAAGUCCAGGAUCAUCACCAUACGACCCACAUCAAAAGGGAGAUUGCAUAUGCUUUAAGUAACGUUGCAAAAGAUGAUUGACUUCGUGCUAUUUUGACGGACAAUGCGACGAAUGAAUACAAAAGAGCGGAUGAAAUAAGAAACAUUAAUUUCGUUCGUCUUAUUAUCAAUAAUAUCACCCUUACUUCAGAAAAGAUAUUUACGGGCAUGGUUUCCGCAGCUAAAGGAAGGAUUUACAAAAAGCAUCGUAGGGAAACUAAAAA